GGCUGUAGCUCAGUGGAAAAGCAUCUGCUUCCCAUGCAGAAGGUCCCAGGUUCAAUCCCCAGGGAGGGUUG